rnacentral:rRNA from 1 species
UGGGGAAUAUUGGACAAUGGGCGAAAGCCUGAUCCAGCCAUGCCGCGUGUGUGAAGAAGGUCUUCGGAUUGUAAAGCACUUUAAGUUGGGAGGAAGGGCAGUUACCUAAUACGUAUCUGUUUUGACGUUACCGACAGAAUAAGCACCGGCUAACUCUGUGCCAGCAGCCGCGGUAAUACAGAGGGUGCAAGCGUUAAUCGGAAUUACUGGGCGUAAAGCGCGCGUAGGUGGUUUGUUAAGUUGGAUGUGAAAUCCCCGGGCUCAACCUGGGAACUGCAUUCAAAACUGACAAGCUAGAGUAUGGUAGAGGGUGGUGGAAUUUCCUGUGUAGCGGUGAAAUGCGUAGAUAUAGGAAGGAACACCAGUGGCGAAGGCGACCACCUGGACUGAUACUGACACUGAGGUGCGAAAGCGUGGGGAGCAAACAGGAUUAGAUACCCACGUAGCCUGAGCGGGCUGGCAAGGCGCAU